UAACCUGCCCAAGAGAUCGGGAUAACACCUGGAAACAGAUGCUAAUACCGGAUAACAACAGAUGAUGCCUAUCAACUGUUUAAAAGAUGGUUCUGCUAUCACUCUUGGAUGGACCUGCGGUGCAUUAGCUAGUUGGUAGGGUAACGGCCUACCAAGGCGAUGAUGCAUAGCCGAGUUGAGAGACUAAUCGGCCACAUUGGGACUGAGACACGGCCCAAACUCCUACGGGAGGGCAGCAGAU
rnacentral:rRNA from 1 species